rnacentral:rRNA from 1 species
GGCAGUCUGGUGCCAGCAGCCGCGGUAAUUCCAGCUCCAAUAGCGUAUAUUAAACUUGUUGCAGUUAAAAAGCUCGUAGUUGUAUUUUUGCUUGGCGGUUUGUUGCCUUUGUGGCUUGAUUCCGCUUGGCUUUUGGCAUUUUGCCUUAUUACUUUGAGAAAAUUAGAGUGUUUCAAGCAGACUUUUGUCUUGAAUACUGUAGCAUGGAAUAAUAGAGUAGGACUUUGGUUCUAUUUUGUUGGUUUGGGAACCUUGGUAAUGGUUAAUAGGAACGGUUGGGGGCAUUCGUAUUUAACUGUCAGAGGUGAAAUUCUUAGAUUUGUUAAAGACGAACUACUGCGAAAGCAUUUGCCAAGGACGUUUCCAUUAAUCAAGAACGAAAGUUAGGGGAUCGAAGACGAUCAGAUACCGUCGUAGUCCUAACCAUAAACUAUGCCGACUAGUGAUUGGAGGUCGUCGUUUGUUUGACCCCUUCAGGAGCUUGAGA